GAGUUUUGCUUCCGAGGUCAAGGCGAGUUCCGCGUGCGGAUGGCUCAAGGGGCGGGCGAAGAGUAAGAUGAACCUGGUGACCGGGAGCCAGGGUUAGGAGCCGCGGGGCUCCUAGUAGUAGAGCGGGAAGAAGUCACGGGGGAGGAUAGAGAGGGCGGCAUCCCUUUGGGCUCAGAGAUUGGCACGAGUCGUGUAGUGGCGCUCUUAGCGAGUUGAGGGUCCCAGUGAGGGGAAGGAGCAGCAAAGAGGGGCUCUAGGUGGGGCCUAGAGCAGAGGGACUACAAAAAAGGAUGCAGAUGACUGUAGACACGAGGAUGAGGACAUCCCGUGGAGAGGAAGUAGAGGUGAGGAGAUGAUAUAGGGAAGCUAUAUCGGUGUGGGGCUGUUUAGAGGGUUAUAGAGGUGAGAAUGGCGGAGAGAAACCCUAAGGGACUUGGCGGUAAGGGAGCCAUUAUUGAGAUAUACAGACGUGAAAGUGUCGUGUAGAUGGGCAUAGAUGCGAAGUAGCGAUAUAGAAGGGCUGAAGAGGAUUCAGGGAUGUUUAUGAGGGAAAAAUCUGAGGAGGAAAAAAUUCCACCUAGAGUGAACUCUGUAGAGUGCUGUAUGGAGGAUCCUUAGGUUCCGGCCUAGUGAAGGCACCCAAACCAGGCACGUAAGGCAUUUCAGGUAGUGACUUCCCCCAUUUGGCUAGGAAUGUGGGUCCUCCUCCGAGGUGGAUACCCCCUCCGGAUCUUGCUGUCUCCGCGUGGGGAGUGGAUGGGUCGGAGAGGCCUGCCCCGAAACUUGGUCCCGGGCCCUCCUCGCAGACGCUACAGGAAGGAGGCUCUCCCAGCCUUGGAGGCACCAGUUUUGCCUGUAACUGCAACUGAAAUCCGCCAAUAUUUGCGGGCACAUGGGAUACCUUUCCAGGAUGGCCACAGCUGCCUGCGGAUACCGAGCCCCUUUGCAGGGUCCUCGCAGAUCAAGGACCAGACUGGCGUUACCACUUCCUUCAGCCUCUUCAUUGACAAGACCACAGGCCGCUUUCUCUGCAUGACUAGCCUAGCAGAGGGGAGCUGGGAAGACUUCCAGGCCAGCGUGGAGGGACAAGGGGACGGGGCCAGAGCGGACUUCUUACUUAGUAAGGCCCCAGAACCUGAGGACAGUGAGGAGGUCCGGAGGAUCUGGGACCGAGCGAUACCUCUCUGGGAGCUGCCUGACCCCGAGGAGGUCCAACUGGCUCGUAUGAUGUUUGGCCUUACCAAGGUGACAGAUGACACACUCAAGCGUUUCAGUGUGCGGUAUCUACGGCCUGCUCGCAGCCUUGUCUUCCCUUGGUUCUCCCCUGGGGGCUUGGGAUUACGAGGCCUGAAGCUACUAGGGGCUGAAGGCCAGGGGGAUGGAGUGCAUUACGAGGAGACCACCAUUCCCCGGCCUGGUGCCUACCACAAUCUGUUUGGUUUACCACUGAUCAGUCGUCGAGACAUCGAAGUUGUACUGACAAGUCGUGAGCUGGACAGCCUGGCCUUGAACCAGUCCACGGGGUUGCCCACCCUUACCCUACCCCGAGGAACGGCCUGCCUACCCCCUGCCUUACUCCCUUACCUUGAACAGUUCCGACGUAUUGUGUUCUGGCUGGGGGAUGACCUUCGGUCCUGGGAAGCUGCCAAAUUGUUUGCCCGAAAAUUGAACCCCAAGCGAUGCUCCUUGGUGCGGCCUGGGGACAAGCAGCCCCGUCCCCUGGAGGCCCUGAACCAAGGCUUAAAUCUUUCUCGUAUUCUUCGUACUGCCCUGCCUGCCUGGCACAAGUCUAUUGUGUCUUUUCGGCAGCUUCGGGAAGAGGUGCUAGGAGAAUUGUCGAAUGUGGAGCAGGUAGCUGGCAUUCGCUGGAACCGUUUCCCAGACCUCAAUCACCUCUUGAAGGGGCAUCGGAAGGGCGAGCUGACGGUCUUCACAGGGCCCACGGGCAGUGGAAAGACAACAUUCAUCAGUGAGUAUGCCCUGGAUUUGUGUACCCAAGGGGUGAACACACUAUGGGGUAGCUUUGAGAUCAGCAACGUGAGACUAGCCCGGGUCAUGCUGACACAGUUUGCUGUGGGGCGGCUGGAAGAGCAACUGGAAAAAUACGAUGAGUGGGCCGACCGCUUUGAGGACCUGCCCCUCUAUUUCAUGACUUUCCAUGGGCAGCAGAACAUCAGGACUGUAAUAGACACAAUGCAACAUGCAGUCUAUGUCUAUGACAUUUGUCAUGUGGUCAUCGACAAUCUACAGUUCAUGAUGGGUCAUGAGCAGCUGUCCACAGACAGGAUUGCAGCUCAAGACUACAUUGUUGGGGCCUUUCGGAAGUUUGCAACAGACAAUAGCUGCCAUGUGACACUGGUCAUCCACCCCCGGAAGGAGGAUGAUGACAAGGAACUGCAGACAGCAUCCAUUUUUGGCUCAGCCAAAGCAAGCCAAGAAGCAGACAACGUUCUGAUUCUGCAGGACAGGAAGCUGGUAACUGGGCCAGGGAAACGGUAUCUGCAGGUGUCCAAGAACCGUUUUGAUGGAGAUGUAGGUGUCUUCCCACUUGAGUUCAACAAGAGUUCCCUCACCUUCUCCACCCCACAAAAGAGCAAGGCCCGGCUCAAGAAGAUCAAGGAUGACAAUGGGCUAGUAGCCAAAAAGCCCUCUUCUGGCAAAAAAGGGGCUAUGCCCCAGAACUCUUGAGACUUGCUUGGACCAGGCCCCCAACCCCUACCAGCCAGACACCUCCAGGCCUUCAAGUUAAAGGCAGUGCAGAGCUGGUCACUGAAAUGAGCCUGAUGGGACAGGCUGGAACAUACUCUUUAUUUGCCCUCUGCUAGGGCUCCUCUGUCCUACCGUCCUGAGCUGUGGGCCCUUCUGGUCUGAGGAACCUCGCCUAGGGCAGUUUUCCAUAGUUAGAAAAUUCAAUUUAGCAGAUCUUUGAGAAUUUACUGUGUGCCAGGCUUUGUUCAAGGUCUUGUAUAUACAGCACUGAAAAGACAGAUAAGGUCUCUGCUUCCACAGAACCUGAAUUCUGGUGGAAGAGACGAAACAGACAAUGAACAAAUAAACAGAACAGUUAUGCAGUGAAAAAUGCUAUCAAGAAAAUAAUGCAAUAGGGUGCUUACAGGCUAGUUUAGAAAAGUGAUCUGAAAAGGUAUCUGAGCGGAUGGUAUGUAUGCUGGCCUCAACAACUACAAGGAGUGAGCCAUAUGAACAUCUGGAGAAGGGGGACCCAGACAGAGAUCCCUGAGGUGGAAAUGAGCAAGUCGAAUUCAAGGCAGCGAGGUCAGGCCCCCUGAUCCUGGAGGGGAAUAGGGGACUUCUUGCCAAAACUCCACCCUAUGCUUUUGGAGCCAAAGGGUGACAUGGUGGAUACCAAGCCCCUUUGCUCCCCACUUUGUAGAGCCUAGUAUUAGAGAGGGGUCCUAGGUGCUCAUCCUAGGGCCCAAAUAGGUGAGAGCUACCUCCUGCUGGAUUGCUUGGCCAGAGCUGUGGAAAGAGCCUAGAGUGCCUGCCUCCUGGCCACUGAUCGCAUUGUAUGCUGCCUCAGACAGACAGCUAGAUCUAGGACUUCUUGUAGAGGCUUUUCCAGUUUUGCUGAAAAAAAUUUUUUUCCAUUGCC